UACGAACCGAGCGAACGUUGUUCGGAAUCACUGGGCUUAAAGGGCGCGUAGGCGGGCUGUCAAGUCUGGGGUGAAAUCCCGCGGCUCAACCGUGGAACUGCCUCAGAUACUGACGGCCUCGAGGGAGGUAGGGGCGAGCGGAACGGAUGGUGGAGCGGUGAAAUGCGUUGAUAUCAUCCGGAACUCCGGUGGCGAAGGCGGCUCGCUGGACCUCUUCUGACGCUGAGGCGCGAAAGCUAGGGGAGCAAACGGG
rnacentral:rRNA from 1 species